rnacentral:rRNA from 1 species
UAGGGAAUCUUCGGCAAUGGGCGAAAGCCUGAUGGAGCAACGCCGCGUGUGUGAUGAAGGGUUUCGGGUCGUAAAGCACUGUUGUAUGGGAAGAAAUGCUAGAAUAGGGAAUGAUUCUAGUUCGACGGUACCAUACCAGAAAGGGACGGCUAAAUACGUGCCAA